CUGGAUCAAUGAACUUACAUGUUUAUACGACAUUCACAAAGUUAAAAGCAACAACACUGUCGUGGAUUUCUACUUCAACAUACCCUGUUACGGACUUACCGCUAAUCAAAGAGAUAGGUGGAUUCCAGUGUGUGAGAAUUCCGUGGGUCUAAUAGUGGCGUAUGGUGUGCUCGGAAGAAAAUAGUUCUGUCAAAGUGAAAGAUGCGAUGGAAGUUUUGAGGAAUUUAGUCUUCCUUCUCUUCCUAUUUGGUUUUGUUUCGGGGCAAGAGGGAACCGAAGAACCGUUCGUGUAUCAGGACUUCAAUGAUACAGACUUUUACGACUUUAGCGAUUUUUCAAACACCAACGAUCCAUUCUCCACAAAUUCAUUUAUAUUCUGGCCAGACGCCUCUCAGCCGCAGGGUGAAGAAGACAAUGCGAUUACGAACCCGAUCCUCGCGGAGUGUGCCGAUGACAAUAACCCAUGUGAUCAGAUCUGCUACAAGAUCGGGCCUGAGACGCACAUCUGUGACUGUCUGCCAGGGUUCGCCCUUAUGCCAGAUGGAACCGCCUGCAAAGAUCUGGACGAGUGUAACCUUGGUUAUUGUGGUCAGUAUGGGGAAUGCACCAACACCGCCGGAAGUUAUAUCUGUAUGUGUCGUAGUGGAUUCUAUCUAGACGACAGCGCCAUCUGUGUUGAUUUGGACGAGUGUCUAGACACCGAAAUCUGUACAGGCGACGCUAUUUGUAGGAAUCUGCCUGGCACAUACGGGUGUCUGUGUCAAGACGGCUUCAUUUAUCGGGACGCGGGGUGUUUUGAUUUCAAUGAGUGUGAGGUCGACCCAUGUCACGUGAACGCGGUUUGUAACAACACGGCCGGAAGUUACUCCUGCUCCUGCCAAGACGGCUUCCGGGAAAUCAACAACACAUGCGCCGACAUAGACGAGUGUUCUAACGCGAUGAGUCCAUGUAAAGGGGAGCUGGCUUGUUUUAACACGCAGGGAUCCUACUACUGCUCCUGUCCACGGGGGUACAGGAUAAACGGAACCAGUUGUUUAGAUAUUGACGAGUGCAAGUUCGGAAAACACAAGUGUGACGACAACGCCCACUGCGGCAACCUCGACGGCUCGUACUUCUGUCAGUGUCUCAAGGGAUACAACGGCAACGGAUACGUUUGUUUUGAUGUUGACGAGUGUCAGAUGAACAACGGCUCCUGUAGCCAGCUCUGUGACAACCUUCCUGGCAGCUUCCAGUGCGCAUGCCAAUUCGGAUAUAAACUACUGCAUGACGGAAGAUCAUGUGAAGAUAUUGACGAAUGUGCCAUAGAGAAUGGUCUGUGUUCACAAAGCUGCGUCAAUCUGCUCGGGUCGUUUGAAUGUCGGUGUAACACGGGGUACCAGCUCCACAUCGAUAACAGAACGUGUGCUGAUUUAAACGAGUGCCUGAUGGAAAAUGGCGGUUGUCGUGGAUACUGUGUCAACACAGACGGCUCCUACCACUGCGCAUGUCCAGAUGAGUUAGUCCUGGGGAAGGAUAAUCACAGUUGUCAACCUAUCAGGAGCUGCAGGGACAAGAAUGGAGGGUGUGAACACGACUGCAAGGACUUGGAUUUCACCUUCAGGUGUAUCUGUAGACCUGGCUUUAGUCUGGCCCCUGAUAACAAACACUGUGAAGAUAUUAAUGAAUGUUUAAUGGUCAAUGCCGGAUGUGAACACCUAUGCAUAAACACACCCGGAAGUUACAAGUGCGCAUGUCACGACGGAUAUCAACUCAGACGGAACAGGCACGGGCAGUACGCGUGUGAAGCUACAUGUAACCCUCCGUGUCAAAACUACGGUACGUGCGUCAGGCCAAACGAGUGCAAAUGCCCUGCUGGAUACCCAGGACCCGGAUGUUCGCCUAUGUGCAACCCUCCCUGCGGACAUGGCGGCACCUGUCUGAGAAGCAACACGUGUGUUUGUAAGCGUGGCUGGCGAGGACCAGGGUGUAGAAGAGCACUGUGCCAGCCUCGAUGUCGAAAUGGCGGGAAAUGUAUCGCGCCAGGCACCUGUGAAUGUCCUGAAGGUUACUCUGGAAACAGGUGUCAGACACGUAGCGACGUGCACGCCGCCAUGUCAACACGGAGGCCGCUGUGUCCGCGUCAACACGUGCUGGUGUCCCGCCAACUUCGCAGGGUCGCGCUGUCAGAUACCACCAUCACGCUGUAACAGUGAGUGCCUAAACGGCGGAACCUGCGUGGGGUUCAAUCAGUGUAGAUGUCCUGCCGGUUUCAGAGGAAAGCGAUGUCAAAUAUCUACACGAGUCCACUGCCGGCCGCCAUGUUUAAAUGGCGGUACGUGCAUGCCGGGUAACAGGUGCCAAUGUUCAGAAGGAACGCGAGGAUUUCGAUGUCAAACCAG
rnacentral:misc_RNA from 1 species